rfam:Papio anubis isolate 1X1155 chromosome 4, whole genome shotgun sequence.
GCUGAAAUAGCUCAAUUGGGAGAGCGUUAGACUGACCAGACCUUAAAGGUCCGUGGUUCAACCCCGGGUUUCAGCC